rnacentral:rRNA from 1 species
AUGCAUUUCCUUGCUCUCGGCUCUGAUCAAAUUUGUAGCGUCUGGGAAUGUGCACAUGAAAAUCCACAUGACCUUAGCGGACCAUUGCAAUGCGGCAAAUCAAAUUUCAAUACUCAACACUCUUCUAUGUGGAUUACCACAAUACGACCUGCAGGAAGACCACAGGUGGAGUGUGCUUGGACGGCGCUUGGCCGCCAGCUGCAUGCCCUUCUAGGAGGCCAGGCACAGAUUCUUUGCCUUGGCAACCGCCUUGGCCUAGAGCCAUGCCAGGUCGUCGUCGCCGAGGAUGGACGCCAGUAA